rnacentral:rRNA from 1 species
AUUGAACGCUGGCGGAAUGCUUUACACAUGCAAGUCGAACGGCAGCACGGGAGCUUGCUCCUGGUGGCGAGUGGCGAACGGGUGAGUAAUAUAUCGGAACGUAUCCAAUAAUGGGGGAUAACUAGUCGAAAGAUUAGCUAAUACCGCAUACGCCCUGAGGGGGAAAGCUGGGGAUCUUCGGACCUAGCGUUAAUGGAGCGGCCGAUAUCUGAUUAGCUAGUAGGUGAGGUAAAAGCUCACCUAGGCGACGAUCAGUAGCUGGUCUGAGAGGACGACCAGCCACACUGGAACUGAGACACGGUCCAGACUCCUACGGGAGGCAGCAGUGGGGAAUUUUGGACAAUGGGCGCAAGCCUGAUCCAGCCAUUCCGCGUGAGUGAAGAAGGCCUUCGGGUUGUAAAGCUCUUUCGCAAGGGAAGAAAACUUAACCUCUAACAUAGGUUGAGGCUGACGGUACCUUGAUAAGAAGCACCGGCUAACUACGUGCCAGCCGCCGCUGUAAUAC